AAACCAUUUGGAACAGGAGCUCCAGGUUCCAGUCUUAGCUGUGACCUUGAAGAAACUGCCAUAUAUGUUUUUGGACUUCAAUAUUCUCACCUGAAGAAUGGGGCUACCUCUGUUCUGCCUGUACUGAGAGAUUGAGAAUGCUUUGGAGUGCAAGCAAAGAAGAUUAUCAAUUAUUUUCCCCAUGGGAACCCACAUUACUUCUGUCUUAAGGACUGGGGGCAGGGAAGGACGGCAGUAUAUCCUUCCACCAUCUGACCAGGCGGGCUCAGUGGGCUUUAGGCCCCCAACACCUGCUUCCUGUCCCAUUGUUUUGGACAGGAAGGAGCCUGGAAGGGAGCUGGAGCCACUUCAGUGGCCGGAUUUCGGCCUGUCUUGGCGCCCAUCGGGGGAGUUAGUGAUCUACCACAGUCUCAAAUCCCACCCCAAAUCCAGGUGAUGGGGAGUCAGCCCUAGCUCUGCAGCACCGCCGAUGGGAACUGCACCGCAUCUCUGGGUUUCCGCCCUCUUCCCAACCCCGGCGAGUUCCAGACACAAGCUGGCAGGCUUCAGGCUCUGCUUCCUUCCCAGUUUAUUAGUCCCCACCCAACCACCCAGCAAGUCCCUCCACUUCAGUCUCCAUUCCCCUGCUGCUCUGCCAGCAAGAGCGAGGGGCCCUCCUCAGUGCCAGGGCUUUUUCAGUCCAUGCCAGCGCCCUGGUGCUCAGCCGAAGCUGCGACCAGGUCUGGAGGUCCACGGCAUUCCCCGCGCUCAGAGAGCAAUCCAGGCAGGCAUUGGCGUGGAAAAUGCGGCGCCCUCAGUCAUCAGGAGAGCAGGCUAGGGGCAACUGAUCCGGGCUGCCCACACUGCCAGUGCUGGAACUUCCAUCGCCUAGGUCGCGGGGCCCGCACGGUGGCAGGGCGAGCUCGGGUGUGGGCCCAGCACCUGAGCCCACUGCGCCGCCGGGGCCACCACGGGGGCCCCACUCUUCGCCCAGUGCUAGGCAAAGCUCCUUAAGGGCCAGAUUUUCCCGCAGCAGCUCCUCCUGGCGGCCUUCCAGCUCGGCUAGCUUCUGCCAACAACCACCCAGGUCCUCGCGCACCGCCCGGGAUGCUUGGGUCCCAAAGAGCUGCCACUGGCGCGCCGCACGCCGUCCUCGUUGGCGCUCUGAGUCCAGGAAGCAGCAGAGGUCGCGCAGCUCCCGGUUCUCCGCCUGCAGACGCCGGUUGAGCUGUUUGAGCUCACGGAUCUCACCCAGGUGACCCUGCAGCUGCCGAUUCACCUCCUGCAUCAGGCGGCCGCGCUGCACCAGCGCUGCCAGGCGCGCCGCCUCCUCCCGCCGUAGGCGCCGCACCAGCUCCUCCUUACCCAGCGCCGCCAUCUCCUCGUCCGUCAGCUCCUCCAGGCCGCCUGCCUCGGCCUCCAUAGUUGAUCAGGCAGCUGCAGCAUCGCCCGCCCACGGCCGCGGCUCUGAAGCCCCUCCUCGGGCCGGUUGCCGCUCAGGCUCCGGCCCGGGUCUGGC
rnacentral:lncRNA from 1 species